GAUGAACGCUGGCGGCGUGCCUAAUACAUGCAAGUCGAGCGAACGGACGAGAAGCUUGCUUCCCUGAUGUUAGCGGCGGACGGGUGAGUAACACGUGGAUAACCUACCUAUAAGACUGGGAUAACUUCGGGAAACCGGAGCUAAUACCGGAUAAUAUUUUGAACCGCAUGGUUCAAAAGUGAAAGACGGUCUUGCUGUCACUUAUAGAUGGAUCCGAGCUGCAUUAGCUAGUUGGUAAGGUAACGGCUUACCAAGGCAACGAUGCAUAGCCGACCUGAGAGGGUGAUCGGCCACACUGGAACUGAGACACGGUCCAGACUCCUACGGGAGGCAGCAGUAGGGAAUCUUCCGCAAUGGGCGAAAGCCUGACGGAGCAACGCCGCGUGAGUGAUGAAGGUCUUCGGAUCGUAAAACUCUGUUAUUAGGGAAGAACAUAUGUGUAAGUAACUGUGCACAUCUUGACGGUACCUAAUCAGAAAGCCACGGCUAACUACGUG
rnacentral:rRNA from 1 species